rnacentral:rRNA from 1 species
GACGAACGCUGGCGGCGUGCCUAAUACAUGCAAGUAGAACGCACAGUUUAUACCGUAGCUUGCUACACCAUAGACUGUGAGUUGCGAACGGGUGAGUAACGCGUAGGUAACCUGCCUGGUAGCGGGGGAUAACUAUUGGAACGAUAGCUAAUACCGCAUAAUAUUGAUUAUUGCAUGAUAAUUGAUUUAAAGAUGCUAUUGCAUCACUACCAGAUGGACCUGCGUGGUAUUAGCUAGUAGGUGAGGUAACUGCUCACCUAGGCGACGAUACAUAGCCGACCUGAGAGGGUGAUCGGCCACACUGGGACUGAGACACGGCCCAGACUCCUACGGGAGGCAGCAGUAGGGAAUCUUCGGCAAUGGACGAAAGUCUGACCGAGCAACGCCGCGUGAGUGAAGAAGGUUUUCGGAUCGUAAAGCUCUGUUGUAAGAGAAGAACGGGUGUGAGAGUGGAAAGUUCACACUGUGACGGUAUCUUACCAGAAAGGGACGGCUAACUACGUG